UUGCGGCACUGGCCGGUAUUGGUUUGCUGAGCACGGCUUCGGUCUGGGCGCAGGAUGCGGUGGCGGCCGAUGCCGGUGCCGAGCCUGCUGCGGAAGU
rnacentral:tRNA from 1 species